UACGGAGGAUGCAAGCGUUAUCCGGAAUUAUUGGGCGUAAAGCGUCCGCAGGUGGUUAUCCAAGUCUGCUGUUAAAGCGCGAGGCUUAACUUCGCACAGGCAGUGGAAACUGGGUGACUGGAGUAUGGUAGGGGUAGCGGGAAUUCCCAGUGUAGCGGUGAAAUGCGUAGAUAUUGGGAAGAACACCAGCGGCGAAAGCGCGCUACUGGGCCAUUACUGACACUCAUGGACGAAAGCUAGGGGAGCGAAAGGG
rnacentral:rRNA from 1 species